rnacentral:rRNA from 1 species
CUCGGAGUUUGAUCCUGGCUCAGAUUGAGCGCUGGCGGAAUGCUUUACACAUGCAAGUCGAACGGUAGAGGGGGCAACCCCUUGAGAGUGGCGAACGGGUGAGUAAUAUAUCGGAACGUGCCCAGUCGUGGGGGAUAACGUAGCGAAAGUUACGCUAAUACCGCAUACGAUCUAAGGAUGGAAAGCGGGGGAUCGCAAGACCUCGCGCGAUUGGAGCGGCCGAUAUCAGAUUAGGUAGUUGGUGGGGUAAAGGCUCACCAAGCCAACGAUCGUGUAGCUGGUCUGAGAGGACGACCAGCCACACUGGAACUGAGACACGGUCCAGACUCGUACGGGAGGCAGCGAGUGGGGUAAUUUUGGACAAGUGGACGAAAGUCUGAUCCAGCCCAUUCCCGCGUGC